GUCGAAAUGGACCUACAGCUGCCAGCCAUAGUCACAGCAACACCAGAUCCGAGCCAUGUCUGCAACCUACACCAUAGCUCACAGCAACACAAGAUCCUUAACCCACUGAGUGAAGCCAAGGAAUGAACCUCAUGGUUACUAGUCAGGUUUGUUUCUGCUGAGCCACCACAGGAGUUCCUUACUUGGGUAUUUUAAAAGCCCCUUUUGUUUACUAUCAAAAUUCCAAAACCUUCUCUAAUUUAAGGUGGGUACAUCUUCCUAAGAUUUGGGCAGGAGUGUGGAGGUAGGCUCUACAUUUCUUGUUCCAUCUCUGCCCAUGAUCACAUAGCAAGUAAGCAGUAGAGCCAUGAUUUGAACCUACAUGGUCCAGCUCUAGUCAGUUAAUCUCUUCUCAUUAGUCUUCACCAUCAGGCCCUGACUGCUGCCAGUCCAGUCUCCAAGCAACCUUUGGGAAAAAAAAAAACACUUCUGGUGCAGGGGAAACAUGCAUCUUGCCCACACACCCUCCAUGGUGGUGAAUACUGUUCCCACCAAAGGGCUCUCUCUCUCAGGCCACUCCAGGCAUGGGUGGCUCCAGCCGGUCUCUCUUAGGGAGCAUCACUGUCCUGGAGUCUCCCAAUCUCCCAUACAUACCAAGUCCUCCCAGCAGUUCCCUACUGACGGGGAGUAUCUUGCAACAUGCUAAUGGCUGUCUCAAACCGUCUUCAUCACCAACUCUUCCGCUUCGACCCCGGGGGUGAGCAAUUGGCUCACCCAGGCAAAACUAGCUGCCCAAUCAUAUAACACAACCUGCUUAGGUAAUCUCUUUAGGAUCUGGAAGUACUUGGUACCUAUUGUGUUUAUCUUGGCAUUGGGGCUUGGACCAUUUCUCUGAGACAACAAGAAUAAAGGUCACAUUUAAAAUCCUGAUAUUGCCUCUGCUGACUAAAGGCAUUAAAAAGAAAACGAACCACAUAUUAGGAUUAUUGGGGUAAAUUAACAUUGAGAAAUCUUUAAAGAUUACUUUUCUUAAGGAUUCCUGUUAGCUUAAUAAAGCAUUAAAAUAUUAAAAUUUCAAAUUUUAAUAACCAUAUUAAUUGAAUUUUAAAUUAAAAUAGCCAUAAACUCUUAGAAUUGGAAGGGACUUUUACAUUCAUUCAGUGAUGUAUCAGUUGCUAGGACAUUUCCACGUUCUUACCCGUUCAUGCUUGAACACCCUAAUGAUGGAGAAAUCACCGUCUCUUCAACAGUUUGUUCCCAUCUGGGAUUGCUUCCAACCAUCAGAAAGUUAUUCUAUGAAACUCGAAGCUGCCUCUUUAAGGUUUCCACCCCUUGAUUUGAUCCCUCGAGAUCACACAGAACAAGUCUAAUUCCCCUCUCACAUGACACACUUCAGACAUGUGAAGCCAGUGUCACUCCAACUUCUGACACUGCAUUUGCUAACACCCAGUUCCUUCAGCUACUUCCUUUGUAACACAGCUUCUACUGUCCUUGUUAUCUUGCUUAUUUUCUUCCUCAGUAAUUCCUGGCCUCCCUAUGGCACACUUGAGGUACAGCACCUAGAGCUGAAGUGAGAGUAGUCAAGCCAGUAGAAGAGGGAACAAUGCUCUCCUUCUCCACAGCACACUUUUUUGCUUAAUAAAACCUAAAUUAGGAGUUCCCAUCGUGGCUCAGUGGUUAACGAAUCCGACUAGGAACCAUGAGGGUUCAGGUUCGAUCCCUGGCCUCGCUCAGUGGGUUAAGGAUCUGGCAUUGCCGUGAGCUGUGGUGUAGAUUGCAGGUGUGCCUCGGAUUCCGCGUUGCUGUGGCUGUGGAGUAGGCCGGCGGCUACAACUCUGAUUAGAACCCUAGCCUGGGAACCUACAUAUGCUGCAGGUGCGGCCCUAAAAAGACUAAAAAAAUAAAAAUAAAACCUAAAUUAAGGAGAUCCCUAGUGGCUCUGUAGGUUAAGGAUCUGGCUUUGUCACUGCUUGUACCUGGGUUCAAUCCCUAGCCUGGAAACUUCCUCAUGCUGCAGGCAUGGUCAAAAAACAAAACAAACAAACAAAAACCUAAGUUAACAUUUACUCUGCUGACACUCACGGCACAAGGUGAAUUACACUAUAUUCACUACCAACAACAUUUCCUUAAGUCUUUUCCAGAUGUACUACAGCUAAGAUACAGCUUAUCCUCUAUAUAUGGUGUUGAUUUUAGCAUGCAAGUAGUGGCCCCAACAGAUGUUCUCUUUAAAAAUCGUUCUUUUAACACUCAUCAAAUUCAACAAGCCUAAAAUUUUAGGAUCCUAAUUUGACCAUUUAAUUUAUUCUCUUUAACUUCAUAUCAUCUCAAAUUUUUUAAGAGUGCUUUCAACAUCUUCAUCCAAAUCACCAAUAAAAAGGAUUAACAGGAAAAGGCCAAGGACAUUCCUAGAAUCAGCCUUCCAUUUGACAUCAAUCUACUAAACAGCACCCCCUUAGUAGCUAUUCAACUAAUCAUCAAUAUCCAUAAUGACAUCGCUCUCUUCAGCCAGGGGUAUAUAACGAGAGACUCUGUCAAGCGCCUUGUUCAAAUUCAGAUUUCUAGGUUCUCCACCCUUCUCAGCUCUAGAGAUCUGGACACCUUAUUGAAAAAGAAAUUCUACUGUGAUGGGUGUUAAACCCAUUCUGGCUCUCAUGAAUAAGUGAUGCUGCUUCUAAGGGCUCACCAAUCAUUUAUUUGAUAGCGCAUUACAGAAUUGAGGCCAUGUUCAUUAUCAUAGACCAAAAUGAAAUUACUUCUUCCCCUUUUUGGAAGUGUGAAGGAUCAGAAUCUUCAAACUUCUCCCAUCUGAAGCCCCUGAGUUCUCCAUGAUUUCUCACAGAUUUUGGACACAGGUCCGGUGUACUCAAUUUCAAGUUGCUCAGGACUCAGAGAUUUAAUCUACUCAGCUAAGAGACUUCAAAUCUCUAAUGGAACAGCUCAGAAUUCUCUUUCAGUGGCUAAAAUAAACAUUAACAUUAAUGUACUAAAGCCACUCAUUAGAAACCCAGGUUUUGGGUUUUGUGCUAUUGGAGAUAUUCUGUGCCUCACAGGAACACCAGUCUCACAGAAAAUCUUCCAAUGCUGUCUGCUCCCCCAAAGAAAGACUCUAGCAUCAUGGAAAAGUUACUGAUAUAGAAACAGAUGUUCCUAAAAAUACCCCUGGAAAUGUAUGGAUAUGAAACACAUGCCACAUAUAUUUAGUUAUAAAAAUAAGAAAAUCAUAUUUUUAUCUAGCAACUAUUUAUUUCCAGAAAGUGACUAAGCACUGCAAUCAAGUCAUACCUGACUUUUAAAAAAAUUAAGACAGAUUGAGCUGUCUAUCCCACAAAAGAAGUGUCUAUUAAUAAUCCAACUCCAAUUGCUAUGUAUAUUUCCUGGCAGGCUGGCUCCUGACUAAAAGCACCAGCUUUAUUUUCCUGAUUGGCUUAAAACAUAUCAUUCUGUGGCAUAAAGAAUUUUAUCACUGAAAGAUGUUCAUUGUUGUCUGGACUGAAAUAAAUAAGAUGUUCUUCUGAGAUACUCAAAAUUAAACUGUGAUUGAGAAUACGCAUGUAUAAAUUAUAGUGGGGGGUUUGUGCUUGGCUUGUACUGCCACCUGGUGGUUUCCUGCUUGUACUAACACAAAACUCAAUAAGGAAUUUCUUCUACUAGCAAUCAUUUAGCAGUUUCUUUGCAAUAUCAGUCACUAACAAGUCAAUACUUCCUGUAAAACCUCUAAAAUAGUGGUUUAGAAGAGAUUUGACUUAAAAUAUUUGGUAAAUAAGAUGAACCAUAUAUCAUUCAAACACAGUAAGCAUAAUGAUUAGUAAAUUGAUAAUAAAAAAUAUGUAGGAAAAGAAUUUAAGUCCCAUCACGCCCCAGAAUGAGAACAAAAUGAAAGAGACAAAGAGCCCCCCUAAACACAGACCUGCCUACCUCUUAGUUAAAAAAAAAUAUAUAUAUAUAAAUAUCAGAAAAACCAACUGGAAAUCUAGAGGUCAGUUUGUAUUUAUACAAAUGAAUAGUGUUACAAAAAUAUUUCUCAUAGAAUUCCUUAAGGUAUUGAUAUGUUUCAGAAUUCAUGUUUCUCUUUUGUGAAAUAAUUUUUUUGUCUUUGGUCCUACUGGGUAUUCAGUAGCCAUAUGAAUUAACAUGAAUAUUUUAUUAUUAUUAUAUUUGUUAUAAUUAUAUUACACAAAUUUGGCCAAGAGAUAUAUGAAAUUACUUUUUUUUCUUUUUAGGGGCGCACCUGUGGUAAGUUCCUGGGCUGGGGUCGAAUCCGAGUGGCAGCUGCUAGCCUAUACCACAGGCAACACCAGAUCCAAGCUGCAUCUUCAACCCACAUCUCAGCUUAUGGCAAAGCCGGAUCCUUAACCCACUGAGCAAGGCCAGGAUUGAACCUGCAUCCUUAUGGAUAUAACCUUGGUUCUUAAUAAAAAAAAUGCUGAACCACAACGGGAAGUCCUAGAAUGUCUCUUUAACUACUAAAGAUAAAAAUUUUGGAGUUCCCACUAUUGUACAGUGGGUUAAGAAUCCAACUAGUAUCCAUGAGGAUGAAGGCUCAAUCCCUGGCCUCACCCAGUGGAUUAAGCAUCCAUCGUUACCAUGAGCUAAGGCACAGGUCAGAGUCGCCAAUGGGAUCUGGCAUUGCUAUUUCUCUGGUACAGACCAGCAGCUGCAGUUCUGAUUUGAUCUCUAUCCUGGGAAAGUCCAUAUGCCACAGGUGCAGCCCUAAAAAAAAUAAAAAUAAAAUCUGACUGUAGUGGCUCCAGUUGUUGCAGAGUUGCAGGUCGAUUGAUUCCCCCACCCAGCACAAGGGGUUAAAGAACCUUCCUCUGCCACAGCUGCAGUCAUAACUAUGGCUCAGAUUCAGUCCCUGGCCUGGGAACUUUCAUAUGCCUCAGGCGUAGCCAUAAAAUAAAAAAAAAAAAAAAGUUUUAAAGUUGCCAAAUCAAGAUUACCAAUUAUUUACUUAUUCCAUGUAUUUAUUUUUAAAUAAAUAUUACUUAUUAUUUUGAAAGGCAAUAUUUUCUUAUGGCCAAAAAUUCUCUACAUACAUCAUUAUUCACUGUAACCAGUUUCUUGCAGAAACAGCCAUUUCGCUUAGUAAGUCCUUUCUACAAUCAAACUAUUAUUUUCACUUAGCCUAUUAUUUGAUUUUUUUCCCCUCAAUUUAAUUCUUUAAACUAGAUAAGGCUUAUUUUUAUUCAUAUCAGGUAAUACUCUUUUUUUUCCCAAGGUGACAAAUCACUCCUGUUAGAGACACAUGUGGAUUAAGCCCUCCCUCUUCUGCUGAUGUGUGAUGUUUGCUUUAAGACAUAUUAGGAUUUAACAUAAAAUACAAACUGUUUAGAAGGUCUACCUUCCUUUCCAUCCAAAGGGGAAUGCCUAUGCCAAUACCAUGCUGACAAUUAUUUUAUAAAGUUGAGAAUGUGUUUUCAUAUUUAACGUUGCAGUAUGUCUAAUAUUUAGUUUAAGGAAGGAGUUCGUCCUCCACCAUUAAUCUUUUCUAAAUUGUUCUGCCUAGUCUCAUCAAUCUCUGACGCCAAAUGAAGUUCAGAAUAAUUUUGUUAAAUUCCCCAAGAAUUUAGCCAAGUUACUUUAAUAAAGAGACCCUCUGAGAAUUAUUUUGGGAAGAAUUAUUACCUUCGCAGAUAGGUUGUUAGUAGAAAAAGCAGGAUUAGUGGUAAGCCUUCCAAUGUUCUUAAGCUGGAUGGCUUUUCAAGGAACAAAUUGAUGAAGAAACUCAAAAUGCAUUCUGUGCCUGCAAUGUGGCGGGAGAUAUGCAGAGAAACUCCCUAAUGCACAAUAAUUAAAAAUGCUGGAGAAAAUGUUUUAAAAUAUCAUUCUAAAUGCAUGGCUGAGUUGGAUGAAAAAUAAGGGAUGUCCUCAGAGGUCACACAUAAAAGAGAGCAUGAAUGCAAAGCAAGUUCUGGUGGUGGCGUUUGCCUGGGACACCUACAUACCUAGCCUUGGAGGCUUAGAGCGUAGGCUUCACAAGGCCAUAUGGGAGUCAGGAGAUAAGACAUGAGAUGAGCAAGGUGGAAGUAGAGGUAAGGACCCAUGCAUAAAGUUGUGACCCCCAAAAGGUAACAUCCUUGGUAAGUGAAUUGGGGGGGGGGGUUCAGUCAUCCUACAGAGAGAAAUAGUGGAGAAAAUUUGCCCACACAUUAUGAAGAAGGGUAAAUGGGGGAGGGGAUGUGUUUCCCUCGAAAAUGACUAGCACCAGUCCCCCUCACGCAGGGAGGGCACACCCU
rnacentral:lncRNA from 1 species